GAUGGUAGGUGAUAUGCCUACCAUGGUUAUGACGGGUANCGGGGAAUCAGGGUUCGAUUCCGGAGAGGGAGCCUGAGAAACGGCUACCACAUCCAAGGAAGGCAGCAGGCGCGCAAAUUACCCACUCUCGGCGAGAGGAGGUAGUGAAGACAAAUAUCGAUACAGGACUCAUAUGAGGCUCUGUAAUCGAAAUGAGUGCUUAUUAAAUCCUAGUACAAGGAUCUAUUGGAGGGCAAGUCUGGUGCCAGCAGCCGCGGUAACUCCAGCUCCAAUAGCAUAUAUUAAAGUUGCUGCAGUUAAAAAGCUCGUAGUUGGAUCUGGAUUCCGGUUAAGUCGUAUAUGGUUUAGUUUUAUGACUGGACCAUUUACAUUCUUUCCCGAAUCUCCUAGCUGUGUCUAUGUGGUAUUUCGGUAUCAUGUAGAUAGUAUUGAUGUCUGAUUCAAACCUUGGUUAGUUUUAGCUUCGGUACUAUGCACUGUUAUGCUCUUUACUGGGUGUGCAGUGUGGGCAGCACGUUUACUUUGAACAAAUUUGAGUGCUCAAAGCAGGCCUAUUGUUGCCUGAAAAGUCUUGCAUGGAAUAAUAGAAUAGGACUUUGGUCCUAUUUUGUUGGUUUAAUAGAACCAAAGUAAUGAUAAAAAGAGACAGACGGGGGCAUUUGUAUGGCAGCGCUAGAGGUGAAAUUCAUGGACCGUUGCCAGACAAUCUAAAGCGAAAGCAUCUGCCAAGUAUGUUUUCAUUUACCAGGAGCGAAAGUCAGAGGUUCGAAGACGAUCAGAUACCGUCCUAGUUCUGACCAUAAACGAUGCCAUCUGAUGAUCCGUGGGUACUCCUUAUGUGAGCCCACGGGCAAUCUCCGGGAAACCUGUAAGACUAUGGGUUCCGGGGAAAGUAUGGUUGCAAAGCUGAAACUUAAAGGAAUUGACGGAAGGGCACCACCAGGAGUGGAGCUUGCGGCUUAAUUUGACUCAACACGGGGAAACUCACCCGGACCGGACACUAUGAGGAUUGACAGAUUGAUAGCUCUUUCAUGAUUUUGUGAUUAGUGGUGCAUGGCCGUUCUUAGUUCGUGGUAUGAGUUGUCUGGUUAAUUCCGAUAACGAACGAGAUUCUAUCCUGCUAAAUAGUCUGUGCGUAAUUCUGUGUAGUUUUUGCGUAGUAUUACUUCGGUAUGCUACUGCAUUGCUGCAUAAGCGCAUUGUACUUCUUAGAGGGAUUGGUGGAUAGCCAAGCCACAAGAGAAAGAGCAAUAACAGGUCUGUGAUGCCCUUAGAUGUUCGGGGCCGCACGCGUGCUACACUGACAGUAGUAGAGAGUUUGAAAUCCUGAUUCGAAAGAGUUGGGCAAACUUUUCAAUUACUGUCGUGCCUGGGAUCGGGGUUUGUAAUUAUCCCCCGUGAACCAGGAAUUCCUAGUAAGCACAAGUCAUCAGCUUGUGCUGAAUACGUCCCUGCCCUUUGUACACACCGCCCGUCGCUACUACCGAUUGAAUGGUUUAGCAAGGUCAAUGGAUUGGAUGCGAUAGUCAAGCAAUUGGCUUUGUGUUUGAGAAGCUGGCCGAACU
rnacentral:rRNA from 1 species